rnacentral:rRNA from 1 species
UUUCUACACCUAUCUGGAGGAGCUUGCUAUCUAACCGAUAACCCACGUAAAACCUCACCAACUUUUGAUUCCAGCCUGUAUACCAUCGUCGUCAGUCUACCUUUCAAAAGUAGUAUACACAAUGACCUUUUUUCUUAACGCCAGAUCAAGGUGCAGCUUAUAAGUUGGGGAUAAGUGAGCUACUAUAAUUUAACAAAAAAUAAAAAUAUGAAAAAAUGAAUGAAACUUCAUUUAGAAACAGAAUUCAGUAGUAACGGCUAAACAAAUAGAAAAUAACCGUGAAUACUCAGCUCUAGAAUACGC